AAUCAACGCUGGCGGCGUGCCUAACACAUGCAAGUCGAACGCGAGAGGGGGCUUCGGCCCCGAUUGAGUGGCGAACGGGUGAGUAACGCGUGGGUGACCUACCUUCGAGUGGGGGAUAACGUCCCGAAAGGGACGCUAAUACCGCAUAACAUCCUGCUUUUGAAUGGGUGGAGAUCAAAGCCGGGGAUCGCAAGACCUGGCGCUUGAUGAGGGGCCCGCGUCUGAUUAGCUAGNGGUGAGGUAACGGCCACCAAGGCAACGAUCAGUAUCCGGCCUGAGAGGGCGGACGGACACACUGGGACUGAGACACGGCCCAGACUCCUACGGGAGGCAGCAGUGGGGAAUUGUUCGCAAUGGGCGCAAGCCUGACGACGCAACGCCGCGUGGAGGAUGAAGGCCU
rnacentral:rRNA from 1 species